rnacentral:rRNA from 1 species
GCUCAGUAACACGUGGAUAACAUGCCCUAAAGCGGGGGAUAAUCUCGGGAAAUUGAGGAUAAUACCCCAUAGAUCAUAGGAUCUGGAAUGACUUAUGGUCGAAAGUUCUGGCGCUUUAGGAUUGGUCUGCGGCCUAUCAGGUAGUAGUGGGUGUAACGGACCCACUAGCCUACGACGGGUAUGGGCCUUGAGAGAGGGAGCCCAGAGAUGGAUUCUGAGACACGAAUCCAGGCCCUACGGGGCGCAGCAGUCGCGAAAACUUCACACUGGAGGCAACUCCGAUGAGGGAAUUCCUAGUGCUAGCACAUUAGUGUUAGCUUUUCUCAAGCGCAGAUAACUUGAGGAAUAAGGGCUGGGUAAGACGGGUGCCAGCCGCCGCGGUAAUACCGGCGGCUCGAGUGGUGACCACUUUUAUUGGGCUUAAAGCGUUCGUAGCUUGAUUUUUAAGUCUCUUGGGAAAUCUCACGGCUUAACUGUGAGGCGUCUAAGAGAUACUGGGAAUCUAGGGACCGGGAGAGGUAAGAGGUACUUCAGGGGUAGAAGUGAAAUUCUGUAAUCCUUGAGGGACCACCGAUGGCGAACGCAUCUUACCAGAACGGCUUCGACAGUGAGGAACGAAAGCUGGGGGAGCGAACGGGAUUAGAUACCCCGGUAGUCCCAGCAUAAACUAUGCGCGUUAGGUGUGCCUGUAACUACGAGUUACCGGGGUGCCGAAGUGAAAACGUGAAACGUGCCGCCUGGGAAGUACGGUCGCAAGGCUGAAACUUAAAGGAAUUGGCGGGGGAGCACCACAACGGGUGGAGCCUGCGGUUUAAUUGGACUCAACGCCGGGCAGCUCACCGGAUAGGACAGCGGAAUGAUAGCCGGGCUGAAGACCUUGCUUAACCAGCUGAGAGGAGGUGCAUGGCCGUCGUCAGUUCGUACUGUGAAGCAUCCUGUUUAGUCAGGCAACGAGCGAGACCCACGCCAACAGUUGCUAGCAUGUUCUCCGGAAUGAUGAGGACACUGUUGGGACCGCCUCUGCUAAAGAGGAGGAAGGAAUAGGCAACGGUAGGUCAGCAUGCCCCGAAUUAUCCGGGCUACACGCGGGCUACAAUGGUCAGGACAAUGGGAAACGGCACUGAAAAGUGUAGUCAAUCUCCUAAACCUGUCCCAAGUUCGGAUUGUGGGCUGCAACUCGCCCACAUGAAGCUGGAAUCCGUAGUAAUCGCGUUUCAAAAUAGCGCGGUGAAUAAGUCCCUGCUCCUUGCACACACCG